rnacentral:rRNA from 1 species
CAGAGACUGCGAGCGUUAUUCGGAUUCACUGGGCGUAAAGGGUGCGCAGGCGGCCGAGUGUGUGAGGCGUGAAAGCCCGGGGCUUAACCCCGGAAUUGCACCUCAAACUACACGGCUAGAGCAUUGGAGAGGGUAGCAGAAUUCAUGGUGUAGCAGUGAAAUGCGUAGAUAUCAUGAGGAAUACCAGAGGCGAAGGCGGCUACCUGGACAAUUGCUGACGCUCAGGCACGAAAGCGUGGGGAGCAAAAGGGAUUAGAUACCCCUGUAGUCCACGCCCUAAACGGUGCACACUAGGUCUUGGCGGAUUCGACCCCCCAGGGCCCCAGCUAACGCGUUAAGUGUGCCGCCUGAGGACUACGGCCGCAAGGCUA